GCAGCCUCAGUUGGAGUUAGGCUGAAAAACUAUAUGUGGUUUAAAGGGUUCCUCUCAAUUCAGCUGGGAUAAGUUCUGAAUAGACAUACUGUACAUAGUAUUUGCAAGAAGGAUCUUUUUGAUUUAUGACUCAAAUGAGUUAGAGUGCCAAGUCCUCUACCCAGGGGAUCCCAGGUUUCACUCCCUAAAGUCUACUGGGACAGGCAUUCCUUGUAAUAUAGGAGAGGAAGAAGGCUUCGAAAAUGGAUGAGCUCCUCCUGGUAUCUGCUUCCUUUCUCCCUGAUGAAAGGAACACAUUGGAUUAUUUCAAGAACAAGUAUUUGAAUAGUGAUCUGGAUACAAGGGAUUUUCCUUCCUGAUAUCUUGGAAGAUUCAUAGUACCCAACCUGGAACAGGUUUUCACUUUCACCUCCCCAGAGGUAUGUUGCUCUUUCCCCAAGAAGAUUUAAAAGAAGAAGAAGAGGCAUCCAGCAAACUCCUUUGAUAUUUAAUCUCAAGGAAAGAUAUUUGUCUGACUUUAGGCAGAGAGGAACAUUCCUCCAACUGUGAGUUUGUUGCUGAUCCAGUGGGAACCUCUAUGCUUAUAUUUCUUGGGGUGUCCUUUGUAUGUACACAGUCUGAGGAAAUGUCACCAGCUGAAGGAGACCUGAAAAUGAAUGUGUUAGGUGGCAAUUUGAAUUUGGGGCAGAAAAGAACUAUAGAAAUGAUUUCAUGUGGAUCAUGUAGUAAUCCCUAUACAUGUAGCUGACUUUGUUGGUGUAAAUGUCAUGCAAGUUAUAUUUGUGGAAACAACAAGUAUGU